GCAGAACCGGCGGGCAUGCCACUGCAGCCCCCUCUGGCUUCUGCUCCGUGGCUACUGGGUGACCCCUCAUCUGGGGCUCUCCUCAGCUCUUCCCAGGAGGGUGGCAUGGAUGCCCCUCCAGUGGUCCUCCUUGGGCUCUCGCACUCUGGGGCCUCUGGAUGUCUGGGGCCUGGAUCUCCUCCAUGCCUGCUUCAUGCCCUGGGGGACGGGGCUAUGGCUCUCUACUUCCUCUAGCAGACCAUUACAUGGGGAAACCUUUUGAAUACAAGCGCGCUGAUCCACACAGGUGUGCACACGGGUGUUCACUGUUCAUAGACAUAAACUACACCUCUAUUGGCUGCUAUUUCCAAGCACAUUGUGCGCUGUCGGUCCUGCUUGCUACACAACAACAUUCAAUAUUUAAUAUUUACUGCUGUUUACACUUAGCUAGAUUAACGUGAUGUUGUUGUGUUUAGUAUGUUGUUCUGGUUUUUUUCUUUUUUGCUUGUUUUCUCUUCUUUUUCUCUCAACAGGUGAUCCAGGAGAGUUUUUUUUCUCUUCUUUCUCUUUUUAAGUGCCCUUUCUCACUGUCCCUCUUCCCUUCUGUUUUUCUUUUCCUUCAUCUUUCUUUCUCCCUUGGUUUACAACUGAAAAUAAAAUAAAAUAAAUAAUAACAACAAAGGUCGAUCAAAUGGACCAAUACGGCAAGGCCGUGAUGAUCCAUUUGGCAAAGUAAAUCCAUUGGGUAUCCUUGUUGGUCUUCAGACAACAAUUCUGACGGCUAAAGAACCAAAUGGGACAGGCAAAAAGAAAAAAAAAAGUGACCCAACUAGUUGGCAAGUUGUUGUCAGAGAUUACUGGCAGCUGUUAAAACUGGUUGCAAUGAAUACCUCCUUGCAAAAGCCUUGAUCACCAGUCACCUGUAGUUUGCACAGAGGAUGCUUAGUCGUCUGCAAACAUUCUCUAGGGAGGCAAACGUUCUUUGCUUCCAGUUUGCAUUGACCUUUCACAAGUUUCUCUACAGCUCAGAGAGUACGUGACAAGUGCUUGCAGACAUGUUGGCAUUUUUCAUGCAAACUGUGGGUGGCAGCAUCAAUCUGCUAGCAGCCAAAACAAUUUCAAUCAGGCUUUGUUUUGUUGCACCAGGCGACAGGCAGAAACCACUCACCAACUGGCUGUGGAAUAUAUAUUUUUCCUAGAAGACUGGAGGUUGCCAGGGAGUCGACGACUGGUCUC
ensembl:lncRNA